ACGGGUGAGUAAUGCCUAGGAAUCUGCCUGGUAGUGGGGGAUAACGUUCGGAAACGAACGCUAAUACCGCAUACGUCCUACGGGAGAAAGCAGGGGACCUUCGGGCCUUGCGCUAUCAGAUGAGCCUAGGUCGGAUUAGCUAGUUGGUGAGGUAAUGGCUCACCAAGGCGACGAUCCGUAACUGGUCUGAGAGGAUGAUCAGUCACACUGGAACUGAGACACGGUCCAGACUCCUACGGGAGGCAGCAGUGGGGAAUAUUGGACAAUGGGCGAAAGCCUGAUCCAGCCAUGCCGCGUGUGUGAAGAAGGUCUUCGGAUUGUAAAGCACUUUAAGUUGGGAGGAAGGGCAGUUACCUAAUACGUGAUUGUUUUGACGUUACCGACAGAAUAAGCACCGGCUAACUCUGUGCCAGCAGCCGCGGUAAUACAGAGGGUGCAAGCGUUAAUCGGAAUUACUGGGCGUAAAGCGCGCGUAGGUGGUUCGUUAAGUUGGAUGUGAAAUCCCCGGGCUCAACCUGGGAACUGCAUUCAAAACUGUCGAGCUAGAGUAUGGUAGAGGGUGGUGGAAUUUCCUGUGUAGCGGU
rnacentral:rRNA from 8 species